UCAGUGUGUCAGUCACACCGGGAUUCAUUCACUGAGUUCCGGGAGCAAGGCAGCUUUUCAAGGCUGGGCACUAAACAGGGGGAGCUUUGUGAGUGCCUAGACUCCUCUGCCGGCCACCUGCUCUUCCUCUCCUUGGCUUCCACGAAGAAAGCUGCAUGAGAGCAGGGAAUUGCUUUGUCCAAUGCUAAUCACUAAAGCUUAGAAUACUGCUUGUUACAUGGGCCAGAAGUCAAGAAUAGGAGAGCAGCAGAAAACCACUAAAUAUGACAGCCAGCUUCACAUGGUUAGGUGGAAACAUCAUUGAUGCAGGAUUUUUCUUUGUCUCCUUACCAGUUGGGGACCUCUGGCUGGUGAUGUUACCUGCCACAGGAUGUGCCCUGCCCAAUCAGCUUGCCAAGUCUAGCUUGUGCACUGGUUCCUGAGUUCUUGUCCUGUGCCCAAGAAGAAUGAGGAUGUGCUGACCAUUGAAGGAGUCUUGUUCUGUUGACCAGGCUGGAAUGCUGUGGUGUGAUCUCGCCUCAUUUCAACCUCCACCUCCCAGGUUCAAGCGAUUCUCCUGCCUCAGCCUCCCGAGUAGCUGAGACUACAGAGCCACCUCUUAGUUGGACUAUUUCACUGCAACAGUCCCCUUCAGCUGGUGAGUCUCU
rnacentral:lncRNA from 1 species